ACAGAAUAUUGGUUCAACCUUGUUGUUUCCAGGAAUGUUAAGGCUGGUGGAUUGCUUAAGUUCAUAAGUUCUGAGCUGCAGUGAGCUAAUCCAAUAAGGUAUCCAAACUAAGUCUGGCACAAAUAUGGUGAGUCUUUAAGAUCAAGGGGCCACCAGGCUGCCUAAAAAGAUGAAACUGGCACAGGUCAGAAAUGAAGCAGGCCGAAGCUCCUGUGCUGAUCAGCUGGGAGUUCAGGUGCUUGAAUAAUCACUGAAUUUCCAGCCUAGGCAAGAUAGGGAGACUCAGUCUUA
rnacentral:SRP_RNA from 1 species